AUUGAACGCUGGCGGCAGGCCUAACACAUGCAAGUCGAGCGAGCUGCGCACGGGUGAGUAACGUGUGUGUAUCUGCCCGUUAUAGGGGGGUAACUCCUCGGAACAGUAGCUAAUACCCCAUAUUAUCUCAUUAGCCCAUAUGGGAUUAGCUAGUAGGUGGGGUAAUGGCGCACCUAGGCGACGAGCCCUAGCUGGUCUGAGAGGAUGAUCAGCCACACUGGAACUGAGAAACGGCCAAGACUCCUACGGGAGGCAGCAGAGGGGAAUAUUGCACAAUGGGCGCAAGCCUGAUGCAGCCAUGCCGCGUGUAUGAAGAAGGCCCUAGGGUUGUAAAGUACGUUCAGUGAGGAGGCGUUACCGACAGAAGAAGCACCGGCUAACUCCGUGCCAGCAGCCGCGGUAAUAC
rnacentral:rRNA from 1 species